AUAGUGAAAUGAUGUGGCUCAACCAUAUGUCCAUUAUCUGAACUGCUAAGCUAGAGUAUAUGAGAGGUAGCUGGAAUUCCUAGUGUAGGAGUGAAAUCCGUAGAUAUUAGGAGGAACACCGAUGGCGUAGGCAGGCUACUGGCAUAUUACUGACACUAAGGCACGAAAGCGUGGGGAGCGAACGGGAUUAGAUACCCCGGUAGUCCACGCCGUAAACGAUGGAUGCUAGCUGUUAGCCGUAUCGACCCGGCUAGUAGCGAAGCUAACGCGUUAAGCAUCCCGCCUGUGGAGUACGAGCGCAAGCUUAAAACAUAAAGGAAUUGACGGGGACCCGCACAAGCGGUGGAGCGUGUUGUUUAAUUCUAUGAUAAGCGAAGAACCUUACCAAGGCUUGACAUCCCUGGAAGGUCUCCGAAAGGAGACUGUGCCUUCGGGAAUCAAGUGACAGGUGCUGCAUGGCCGUCGUCAGCUCGUGUCGUGAGAUGUUUGGUUAAGUCCAUCAACGAGCGCAACCCUUGUGAUUAGUUGAAUUUUCUAGUCAGACUGCCUCGGUAACGGGGAGGAAGGAGGGGAUGAUGUCAUGUCAG
rnacentral:rRNA from 1 species